rfam:Brassica napus, WGS project CCCW01000000 data, contig: 16840
GUAAUAUAAGAACCCGUCUCUUAAAUUUUAACUACGAAAGCUAAGAACCGGCUCUUAAAUAAAAGUUUUAAGAAUCAGUUUUUAGCUUUUGUAGUUAAAAGUUUAGAGACGGAUUCUUAUAUUUU